rnacentral:rRNA from 1 species
GAUGAACGCUAGCGGCAGGCCUAACACAUGCAAGUCGAGGGGGAAGUUACUUUCGGGUAACAGAGACCGGCGUACGGGUGCGUAACGCGUAUACAAUCUGCCUUUCACUGGGGGAUAGCCCGAAGAAAUUUGGAUUAAUACCCCAUAGUAUAGUAAUACGGCAUCGUGAUACUAUUAAAGCUUAGGUGGUGAAAGAUGAGUAUGCGUUCUAUUAGCUAGUUGGAGAGGUAACGGCUCCCCAAGGCGAUGAUAGAUAGGGGUUCUGAGAGGGAUGUCCCCCACACUGGUACUGAGAUACGGACCAGACUCCUACGGGAGGCAGCAGUGAGGAAUAUUGGACAAUGGUCGGAAGACUGAUCCAGCCAUGCCGCGUGCAGGAUGAAGGUCUUAUGGAUUGUAAACUGCUUUUGUAAGGGAAGAGUAAGGGCUACAUGUAGUUUGAUGACGGUACCUUACGAAUAAGCAUCGGCUAACUCCGUGCCAGCAGCCGCGGUAAUACGGAGGAUGCGAGCGUUAUCCGGAAUCAUUGGGUUUAAAGGGUCUGUAGGCGGGCUGGUAAGUCAGAGGUGAAAGCGCUCAGCUCAACUGAGCAACUGCCUUUGAAACUGUUGGUCUUGAAUGGUUGUGAAGUAGUUGGAAUGUGUAGUGUAGCGGUGAAAUGCUUAGAUAUUACACAGAACACCGAUAGCGAAGGCAUAUUACUAACAAUUGAUUGACGCUGAUGGACGAAAGCGUGGGGAGCGAACAGG